rnacentral:rRNA from 1 species
UGAGCAAUCUGCCCUUCUCAUCGGAAUAAGCGUUGGAAACGACGUCUAAUGCCGAAUACGACCUCCUUUCGCAUGAUCGGAGGUGGAAAGCUCCGGCGGAGAAGGAUGAACUCGCGGCCUAUCAGCUAGUUGGUGUGGGUAAUGGCCCACCAAGGCGACGACGGGUAGCCGGCCUGAGAGGGUGACCGGCCACACUGGGACUGAGACACGGCCCAGACUCCGUACGGGAGNAG